UACGUAGGAUGCAAGCGUUGUCCGGAUUUAUUGGGUUUAAAGGGUGCGUAGGUGGCUAGAUAAGUCGUGGGUGAAAGUUGGCAGCUUAACUGUCAGAUUGCCUGCGAUACUGUUUAGCUUGAAUGCGAUUGAGGUAGCUGGAAUGGGUGGUGUAGCGGUGAAAUGCAUAGAUACCAUCCGGAACGCCAAUUGCGUAGGCAAGCUACUAAGUCGUGAUUGACACUGAGGCACGAAAGCGUGGGGAUCAAACAGG
rnacentral:rRNA from 1 species